rnacentral:rRNA from 1 species
UAGUAGUACCAUACCACCCUGAAUGCUCCUGAUUUUAUCUGAUCUUGGAAGCUAAGCAGGGUCGGUCCUGGUUAGUACUUGGGUGGGAGUCAAACUCUGAAACCUAGUUUCUUCCUGG